UGUUCAUCAAGAGCAGCAGAGAGACUCGGCUCGCAGAAGCUGCAGCAACCCACAUCAGGUGGGUGCUAACGCCGGGAACGAUGGAGG
rnacentral:ncRNA from 2 species